rnacentral:rRNA from 1 species
UAAGGAAUAUUGGUCAAUGGACGCAAGUCUGAACCAGCCAUGCCGCGUGGAGGAUGACGGCCCUCUGGGUUGUAAACUCCUUUUAUCUGGGACGAAAAACGGGCUUUCUAGCUCACUUGACGGUACCAGAGGAAUAAGCACCGGCUAACUCCGUGCCAGCAGCCGCGGUAAUACGGAGGGUGCAAGCGUUAUCCGGAUUUACUGGGUUUAAAGGGUGCGUAGGUGGGCAGGUAAGUCAGUGGUGAAAUCUUCAAGCUUAACUUGGAAACUGCCAUUGAUACUAUUUGUCUUGAAUAUCCCGGAGGUAAGCGGAAUAUGUCAUGUAGCGGUGAAAUGCUUAGAUAUGACAUAGAACACCCAUUGCGAAGGCAGCUUACUACAGGAUUAUUGACACUGAGGCACGAAAGCGUGGGGAUCAAACA